rnacentral:rRNA from 2 species
GCAGUCGACGCGUCUCCGUUGAUGACUUCAGGUGCUUGCACUUGAAGAUUUAACAUUGAGACGAGUGGCGAACUGGUGAGUAACACGUGGGUAACCUGCCCUUGAAGUAGGGGAUAACACUUGGAAACAGGUGCUAAUACCGUAUAACAACCAAAACCACCUGGUUUUGGUUUAAAAGACGGCUUCGGCUGUCACUUUAGGAUGGACCCGCGGCGUAUUAGCUUGUUGGUAAGGUAACGGCCUACCAAGGCGAUGAUACGUAGCCGACCUGAGAGGGUAAUCGGCCACAUUGGGACUGAGACACGGCCCAAACUCCUACGGGAGGCAGCAGUAGGGAAUCUUCCACAAUGGACGAAAGUCUGAUGGAGCAACGCCGCGUGAGUGAUGAAGGGUUUCGGCUCGUAAAACUCUGUUGUUGGAGAAGAACAGGUGUCAAAGUAACUGUUGACAUCUUGACGGUAUCCAACCAGAAAGCCACGGCUAACUACGUGCCAGCAGCCGCGGUAAUACGUAGGUGGCAAGCGUUGUCCGGAUUUAUGGGGCGUAAAGCGAGCGCAGGCGGUUUUUUAGGUCUGAUGUGAAAGCCUUCGGCUUAACCGGAGAAGUGCAUCGGAAACCGGGAGACUUGAGUGCAGAAGAGGACAGUGGAACUCCAUGUGUAGCGGUGAAAUGCGUAGAUAUAUGGAAGACACCAGUGCGAAGGCGGCUGUCUGGUCUGUAACUGACGCUGAGGCUCGAAAGCAUGGGUAGCGAACAGGAUUAGAUACCCUGGUAGUCCAUGCCGUAAACGAUGAGUGCUAAGUGUUGGAGGGUUUCCGCCCUCAGUGCUGCAGCUACGCAUAGCACUCGGCUGGGAGUACGACGCAGUGGAACUCAAGAUUGACGGGGC